rnacentral:rRNA from 1 species
GACGAAGGUGGCAACCGUUGCUCGGAUUCACUGGGCAUAAAGCGCGCGUAGGUGGCUAGGCAGGUCACUGGUGAAAUCCCACGGCUCAACCGUGGACCCGCCAGUGAAACCGCCUUGCUUGAGGACGAGAGGGGAGAUUGGAACUCUUGGUGUAGCGGUGAAAUGCGUAGAUAUCAAGAGGAACGCCGGUGGCGAAAGCGAAUCUCUGGAUCGUUCCUGACACUGAGGCGCGAAAGCUAGGGGAGCAAACAGG